AUUGAACGCUGGCGGCAGGCCUAACACAUGCAAGUCGAACGGUAGCACAGAGAGCUUGCCCUCGGGUGACGAGUGGCGGACGGGUGAGUAAUGUCUGGGAAACUGCCCGAUGGAGGGGGAUAACUACUGGAGACGGUAGCUAAUACCGCAUAACGUCGCAAGACCAAAGAGGGGGACCUUCGGGCCUCUUGCCAUCGGAUGUGCCCAGAUGGGAUUAGCUUGUAGGUGAGGUAACGGCUCACCUAGGCGACGAUCCCUAGCUGGUCUGAGAGGAUGACCAGCCACACUGGAACUGAGACACGGUCCAGACUCCUACGGGAGGCAGCAGUGGGGAAUAUUGCACAAUGGGCGCAAGCCUGAUGCAGCCAUGCCGCGUGUAUGAAGAAGGCCUUCGGGUUGUAAAGUACUUUCAGCGGGGAGGAAGGGAGUGAGGUUAAUAACCUCAUUCAUUGACGUUACCCGCAGAAGAAGCACCGGCUGACUCCGUGCCAGCAGCCGCGGUAAUACGGAGGGUGCGAGCGUUAAUCGGAAUUACUGGGCGUAAAGCGCACGCAGGCGGUCUGUCAAGUCGGAUGUGAAAUCCCCGGGCUCAACCUGGGAACUGCAUUCGAAACUGGCAGGCUGGAGUCUUGUAGAGGGGGGUAGAAUUCCAGGUGUAGCGGUGAAAUGCGUAGAGAUCUGGAGGAAUACCGGUGGCGAAGGCGGCCCCCUGGACAAAGACUGACGCUCAGGUGCGAAAGCGUGGGGAGCAAACAGGAUUAGAUACCCUGGUAGUCCACGCUGUAAACGAUGUCGACUUGGAGGUUGUUCCCUUGAGGAGUGGCUUCCGGAGCUAACGCGUUAAGUCGACCGCCUGGGGAGUACGGCCGCAAGGUUAAAACUCAAAUGAAUUGACGGGGGCCCGCACAAGCGGUGGAGCAUGUGGUUUAAUUCGAUGCAACGCGAAGAACCUUACCUACUCUUGACAUCCAGAGAACUUAGCAGAGAUGCUUUGGUGCCUUCGGGAACUCUGAGACAGGUGCUGCAUGGCUGUCGUCAGCUCGUGUUGUGAAAUGUUGGGUUAAGUCCCGCAACGAGCGCAACCCUUAUCCUUUGUUGCCAGCGAUUCGGUCGGGAACUCAAAGGAGACUGCCAGUGAUAAACUGGAGGAAGGUGGGGAUGACGUCAAGUCAUCAUGGCCCUUACGAGUAGGGCUACACACGUGCUACAAUGGCAUAUACAAAGAGAAGCGACCUCGCGAGAGCAAGCGGACCUCAUAAAGUAUGUCGUAGUCCGGAUUGGAGUCUGCAACUCGACUCCAUGAAGUCGGAAUCGCUAGUAAUCGUGGAUCAGAAUGCCACGGUGAAUACGUUCCCGGGCCU
rnacentral:rRNA from 1 species